GGAAGUUUUGGGCCUUGAUGUGGGCCUUGCUGGGAGGAAUCACGCUACAUAACUACUGCAUAAUGGAUCAUUUUUACCCCAGGAUUACAGAAGACUGGACUGGCUGGACUAAAGCAGAGUUCCAAAAUGUCACCUGGCCAGGAGUUGCAUUGUCCCCUGACUUCCCAUGUUGCUCUGUACCUUGGCAAAUGAGGACUAUAUCUUUUCCACUGUCUUCUAACUUCUCAGGUAUGGCCUUCCUGUGCAUGUGCAAACUGCAGCUAUCUGUGAAACACAGGAACACCUUCCCAAGCCCCUGUCCCAGUCUCUCUCACAUGUCAUUUCUGUAUCAGGAGCACAAAGGCUCAGAGGCAGAGCCUGCCAGAGCAGGAAGUGUGGCUCAUCAAAGCUUGAAAAGCUGCAGCUCUCUGACCUGUGUGUCAAUACUCUGACAUGGUCUGUGCCUCACAAACUAGGGAAAUUAGAGGUGAGUGAUCACACAGUUCCUUCUUCCAAACUGGUGUUCCACCAAGUGGCCUGGAAGUACCACUCUAUCCAUCGCUUAGCAUCCCUUAGUCCCUUAUCGUGACUAGACAUGCAUCUUUAAAUGGUCCCUGUUUUUUGAAUAUGGGCCUGCAUGGCUGGUUCUAGUGUGUUAAGAUAUA
rnacentral:lncRNA from 1 species